UCCAAUUAGUAGUUUUCGUAAGUAUAGUCAAUUCCAGGUAAAGUAUAAUCCAUUUUUCCAAUUGUCAAAUCCAGAGUAAAUAUCAAUUCAGUACGAUUUUCCUCGUCAGUGAAUAUGUUUCAUACUAUCCGUAAAAUAUGUUUUUACUAUCCUCUUCUUAAUUUAAAGCUUCAUUGAGAUAUAGAAUUUGCAAUUCCACUAUUUGCUCUUUGCUCCAUGUAUUGAGCGUGCUUCAAAAUUUCAAAAACUUAGAGAUAAAUUAUAUGAAAUAUGGACACCCAAAAAUUUCACUUCAGAUGUAGUGGGUAACAAACAAUUAUUAUAUUGCACAGCAGGUGUACUGUGACAAUGUUUACCAAAUACAAUAACUUUAGACUUGGAUGGAUUCACACUGAGAUCAAGGAAUCCCUAUUUGUAAUAACUCAAGGCAUAGAAUAUCUAUGUUUACACUAUUAAAAGCACCUGCGAUGUCAAA